GUACUUGCCUGGCAGGAAAGGUACCAUGAUCAGGAAGGUGUUUUCCCAGGGUGAGACUCAGGUGUUGCACACUGGGAAUGUUGGCUCCUGUGAUUUCUCCAAGUGUCGAAAACUUGAUUGCAUAAUUUGUGGUAGUGGGGACUGUGUGUACACUCUCUCUU